rfam:Oryza barthii chromosome 9, whole genome shotgun sequence.
UUCAAGUGCAGUCGUGGGUUUCUAUGUCUAACGUUUGACCCUCCGUCUUAUUUAUUUUUUUAUUAAUAUUUUUAUUGUUAUUAGAUAAUAAAACGUGAAUAAUACUUUAUGUGUGACUUAUUAUUUUUUAUUUUUUAAAUAAGACGAAUGGUUAAACGUUAGAUAUAGAAAUCUAUAACUAUAUUUACG